rnacentral:lncRNA from 1 species
AUUUAUUAUUAUUAUUAUCAUUAUUAUUUUUUUCCCUUCUUUCACUGGUACUUAAUUUAUCAACCCUGUAAGGAUGAAAGGCAAAGUUGACCUCAGUGGAAUUUGAACUCAGAACAUAGCAUGCAUGUGUGUGUGUUUUGUUGCAGUCAAAAAAAUACUUUUUCUGAGAAUAUUUUGCAUCUGGCAUGUUAAUGAUUCUGCCAGCUCACUGCCUUAACCAACUGUCUAAUAACAAUAAUAUACAUAUGACAGAACCAGUGCAUGUAUUUAUUAUUAGCUUAAUGACCCUCUUGAGACACAAUUAAAUGUUGAUUAGAUUUGUCUGAGAUUAUUAGGCCCUGAAAAACACUGCCAGACUUGUAUUUUUUCAUUUGGUUUUCCAAGUAAGCUUGGCUUUGGUAAUUUUAAUUUAUAGAUGAAAAAAUAGUAAUGACACAGUUUGUUGUUGUAAUAAUAAUAAUAAUAAUAAUAAUAAAAAUAAUAAUAAUAAAAAUAUAGCUUUUAGUCAGUUCUGAUCAGUUAAACCUUUGAUUGAAGGCAUUCAAGGUAGGAUGGUCAUGGCUUGAAUGUUUUUGAUCAUGAUCUGGGUAAAACAGAGUCGACCUAGGGUUAAACAAUAGCAACCAGCUCAAGUCUUUUCUCUGUUUAGUAAAUCUAAUAUGAUAUGAAUGAAAGAAUAUUUGCUUCAAUUAUGAAUAAUAAAUAGACCAGAUUGAUAAAAAAAAACAAAAAAACAGUAAAGUGUUGUAGUGAGAGAAGGAGAGGAGAACAAAAAUAAAACAAAACACACAUAUAUAUAUAUACAUAUAUAUAUACAUAUAUAGUUGAAAUUUACAGAAAAACAAAAGAUGAAGACAGGUGUAUAAACAACAAACAGGUGUAUUAGUUUAGCGCUCGGGAAGUUGAAAUAAUCUUUUACAUUUCGAGCAUAUGCUCUUCAACAGAAGGGAACACAAGGAAAUAAACAGAGAGAGAAUAAAAAAACUUUUGGAACUAGCGGUCAAUCAUGGUAGCACAUACACAUACACAUAUAUCUACAUAUAUAAACAAGUGAUAGAGAGAUUACAUAAGACCUCAAAGUCCCUUGUAUUCUUUCCUGCUACAUGGUGUACUACUACUGAGAGCAACAAGCUAUGAUACUUGUACAUUUGUUUAAAGACUUCCCAAACCUAUCCCCACUUUUUUUCAAUUUUGCUGGGUCCCAAAGAACUCAUUUUGUCUGGUGAUAGGUAGUGUGAAUUAGAUUUAAAGUGCACAAAGCUCUUUAAAUACAAUAAGCCAUCUUAUCCAGUGCUCUGACAAUUCCAUCUGUCCACUGUCAAGCACUCCUCCACAUGGCCCAGUCCUUGCUGCAGCAUGGGAGCUUGCUUACCCCAAUGCCCUAGUAGGGCAUUCCAUGUACAGGUCAAACGAGAAGGGCGAGUCUAAUAUGGACCACCUCUUCCCACAGGUGAAAAUGUGUUUGUGUAGGGUCAACGCUCCUUCUGAGGAAAAAGUAAAGUUAUGGAAGCAUCAAUGACAAUUCAAAAUGAAAAAGACCUGAGAGAUGAAAGCCUUCUCUCAGAGACGCAUAUGAUGCAGGGUAGCAAAAUCUGAAAGGAAGCUGCAAGCCCAGAAAAAACAAGCAAGGGUCCAACUGCAGAGAAGCAGAAUGAUGGCUUAAAGAAGAAAAACUGUUGAUGGCCUUUGCUCGGUAGGGAGUGAUGGCACUCAGAAUUCCUCAAACUUUACACUCAGAAUUCCUCAAACUUUAAAGAAUGAAAGGCAAAUUAACUUUGGAAGGAUCCAAGAGAGAGAAAGAGAGAGCAAAGAGAGAGCAAAAAGGCAGACAAAUAUGACAAGGCUCUAUCUGAUUGCCUUGUAAUAUCUAUCUAACACAUCUGUCUGUCUGUCUGUCUAUCUAUCUAUCUAUACGGACAGACAGACAGCUAGAUAGAUAGACAAGCUGACAGCUAGAUAGAUAGGUAGACAGAUAGCUAGAUAGAUAGGUAGACAGGCAGAUAGAUAGAUAGCUAGAUAGAUAGGUAGACAGACAGGUAGACAGCUAGCUAGAUAGGUAGACAGACAGACAGACAGCUAGCUAGAUAGGUAGACAGACAGACAGACAGCUAGAUAGAUAGGUAGACAGACAGCUAGAUAGAUAG